AUGCGCUAUCUGAAAGGUACUAUGAACUAUGGACUUCACUAUACCGGAUACACGUCGGUACUUGAAGGGUAUAGUGAUGCGAAUUGGAUCUCUGAUGCUGAUGAGAUGAAGGCCACAACUGGGUAUAUAUUUACUCUUGGAGGUGGUGCUGUUUCCUGGAAGUCUUGCAAGCAAACGAUCUUAACAAGAUCGACAAUGGAAGCAGAAUUAACAACAUUAGACACAUCGGGUGGCGAAGAAGAAUGGCUUCGAGAUCUGUUGAUGGACUUGCCAGUGGUUGAGAAGCCGGUUCCGGCCAUCCUUAUGAACUGUGACAAUCAAACAGUUAUUGUCAAGGUGAAGAGUUCAAAGGACAACAUGAAGUCCAACAAACAC
rnacentral:rRNA from 1 species